GGAAGCAACUCUGAUCAGCCAUGCCGCGUGCAGGAUGACGGCUUUCGGAUUUUUAACCUCUUUUUUUACGGAAAUAAACGGUGAUACUAGUAUCAGACUAAAUGUACCUUACUAAUAAGGAUCGGCUAACUCCGUGCCAGCAGCCGCGGUAAUACGGAGGAUCCGAGCGUUAUCCGGAUUUAUUGGGUUUAAAGGGUGCGUAGGCGGUUUGCUAAUUUAGAGGUCAAAGCCCGGGGCUCACCCCUGGAAUUGCCUCGUAUUCUGGAGGUCUGCACGACUUUGCUGUUGGCGGAAUGUGUGUUGAUCGUUGAAAUGUUUCGAUAUCACACAUAACACCGAGGACAAAAGCUGCUGCUAAACUGCAUCUGACGCUAAGGAAACAAGGCUAGGGGACCAAACAGGAUUAAAUACCCUGGAUGUCCACUGGGUGACGGAUGAUAACUCGUUUGUGGCGAAACAAAUGUCGAUUAAUGAUCCGCCGGAGGAGUUUAUCCACCUGGUUGAGUACUUUCGGGAAGAAUGAAGCUCACAGGAAUUGACCGGG
rnacentral:rRNA from 1 species